GAUGAACGCUGGCGGCGUGCCUAAUACAUGCCAGUCGAGCGAACAGAUAAGGAGCUUGCUCCUUUGACGUUAGCGGCGGACGGGUGAGUAACACGUGGGUAACCUACCUAUAAGACUGGAAUAACUCCGGGAAACCGGGGCUAAUGCCGGAUAACAUUUAGAACCGCAUGGUUCUAAAGUGAAAGAUGGUUUUGCUAUCACUUAUAGAUGGACCCGCGCCGUAUUAGCUAGUUGGUAAGGUAACGGCUUACCAAGGCAACGAUACGUAGCCGACCUGAGAGGGUGAUCGGCCACACUGGCACUGAGACACGGUCCAGACACCUACGGGAGGCAGCAGUAGGGAAUCUUACGCAAUGGGCGAAAGCCUGACGGAGCAACGCCGCGUGAGUGAUGAAGGUCUUCGGAUCGUAAAACUCUGUUAUUAGGGAAGAACAAAUGUGUAAGUAACUGUGCACGUCUUGACGGUACCUAAUCAGAAAGCCACGGCUAACUACGUG
rnacentral:rRNA from 1 species